AAAAUUCAUACUUUUUCAUGAUCUCCUAAUUUUGUUUUUUGGGUUGUUGAGAUUGCAUUAUCUUUCUCUAUUAGCUCUUAAUCUUAAAGCUGCCUGCGUUUAUUUCAAGAUAAAUAACUCUUGAUCUUGGGCUCAGAGUCAUUGUGAUCUAUUCCAUUAGAAACACACAAGUGAAGUGGGUUUUCAAUGAUCUAGAUUCACCAUAGGAAACCAAUUAAAAAUGCGGUCUGCUUAUUCUCACCAAAUUUUUGCAAUUUUUCCCUCAUUGAUGUGUGCUAAUAAGCCUUUAUCUAUAUUACAUUUAUGUCUCGUCUGUACGGAUUUCAGUUCUUUGGGUUUAAUUCCUGUAGCGAAGACGUGCCGGUGCAGAGCCAUGCCGAUGGCGGAGACGAGAAGUGGCUGGGUAUCGUGGAUUACUGCCAGAGUGCCUUGUUCGUUCGUGCUAAGCGAGAAAGACGAAGGCCUCUGCAUCCUUAAUUCAGCUUUAGCACAAAUUUACGAAUUUACCCUCAGGUCAGCCGGGGUUGUGCAAGGGGUGCACCAAUUGACUACCCGUAGCAGAAUUGUUUCCAAAUUUAUAUGGGCAUGUCAUGCGCGCGCUUGGGCUUUCGCCACCGAUGUAAAUGGCAGAAUGCCCUUGAUUUGGGCCCUCUCGCACGAAUAGAGUUCCCUUUGUUCAAAAACUGCUCUUGAUUUGUAAAAUCCGAGCAAAGUGUAUUUCUCUCUCUCUCUAAAUUUAUAUUGUCGAGUAGAAAAAAAAUUAAGUAAAAAAUGAAUACUUGUAUUGAAGUUA